rnacentral:tRNA from 1 species
GGGGUUUUAAGCUUAGAAAACUUGACUUUUAAUCAAGUUGUCCGGGGUUCGAAUCCCCGCACGCUCA